UAUAUACUCCCUCCGUUCGGAAUUACUCGUCGAAGAAAUGAAUGUAUCUAGAUGUAUUUUAGUUGUAGAUACAUCCAUUUUUAUGACAAGUAAUUUCGAACGGAGGGAGUAUUAU
rnacentral:pre_miRNA from 1 species